GAAAACCCUCAAACCCUCUCCAAUUAAUUCUCCAUCAAUCUCAAUCCAAACCAAGAGCAAAUAUAUCAACUUUAACAUGAAGAACAACAUGUCAACUUCGAAAUUGUGAUUUCUUCACUAUUUCACCUUUUGGAGGAAAAUCUUGCUUUGAAGUAACUUGGGGUUUAAAGUGAUUUUCAUGAUGUAAGGAGAUCGUUCGUAAGGCGUUCGAGGACUCGGGAAACAUAUAUAACUCCAUCUACGAGGUACGGGAGACAGAUUGGUGUACCUUUCUCAGUAGGAUACCUAAGUUCAGCAGGGAUGUUCGCACUCCAUUCUCCGGAGUUGCUGGUCAGAGUCAUUAAAUAGGAUGCGUGCAUAUACAUAUAUAUAUAUAUAUAUAUAUAUAUAUAUAUAUAUAUACAGACUAUGGCUAUGGGUACGUCGGGGCCACUGUCCCGACUAGUUGAUGCGUAUUAGUGCUCUUAGAGGCUUACAGACUAUCAGUCAGUGUACAGGUAUUGUGUUUGGCCUUGCCGGCCUUUUGACUAGUUGUCUUUCUUAGUUGUGGCCUUGUCGGCCCUGAUUAUGCAUAUAUGUGUUGUUAGGCCUUUUCUGCUUGCAGGUUGUUAUGAUAUACUUCUUACAAUUGUUAUUCAGCAGCCUUGUCGGCCUAUGAUUCACGUUACAGAAUUCAGAAAUCACAGUUGGUUCGCUCGGCCCUUCGGGUGCCGGGUGCCGGCCACACCCCCCAAGGUUGGGGUGUGACACAUUCACCCUCCAAAUCUUCCGCCACUUACUAAUAUUAUUUAUAGACUCUUGUAACCAUUUUUAUUAAUAAAAUCAAUCCCUUUUAUCCUCAACAAAAUUUCUUUUUGAACUUACGUCGACUAACUCAUGAUGCGACUUUAACGUGCGAAAAUCCGAGGUGUAACAGAUUUGGUGAAUAAAUGGAACUUAGUUGAUUAAUUAGUUACUAUUUGCUUCCAUUUGGUAAUAUUCUACCAAUUAGUAUGUGCCCAAGCUGCCCUGAACACCACCAUUGUAAAAAGAAAAAGGUUAUGUCAGUUAGUUGCAAGUGAAUAUAGGAAAAGAUCACUGCUUUGUCAAUUAGUGCCCCUCAAAUUAUUAGUUUUACUAGUCCAUUCAACAGCUCUUUAUUUAAGAAUUGUGACAUAUCUAUGUUUUGGGUCCCUCGAUGAUUCAAUCAAGAUUGAUUCUUUCCUGUUUUCACAAUAAUAGUAGUUUAUUUUGAUCUCCAUAGCUGCCCUACCAUUUUGGAUAUGUCUUUAUCUACCCUUCAUCAAGAGCACAUGCAUGUUGGAUUAUCUGAGUAUUAUUUGGUGCAUAUUGCUAUAUGCAUCUAAAUUCUAAUAUUUAAUCAAUCAUUGAUCAUAAGUUGCCAUUGCUGUUGCUUCUUUUAGACAAGUUAUUCAUGCAUUUACUCUUGUAAUCUUAAGUAAUGAAGAUUUGUUGUACCAAACAAGUACUAAACAGAUUUGAUUCAGCUAGUUUUAAGAUAAGGCAUCAGACAUUUUUGUCUUCAUUUGUUGUAUGAGGUUAAGCUAGUUCUACUUCUUAUAUUCCGCCUCAUUUCUGUAUCUGCAGGCAGAAUAUAACUUGAGAUAUUCCAACAAUAAGUUUGAGAGUGACUGUUUUUUAAAAGUUAUGCAGAAGCAAUAUGGAAGACGAAAAGAAGCUGUGCCUUCCUUUAAGCUAAAUAUUAAUAGCACAAGUUUAUUUUGUAUAUUAGAUAAAACAUUGAAAUGCAUAUUCCGCCGUUCAGUAGACUCUGAUUUAAAACUACAAAUUACUAAGAUGCUUUCGACAGUCAAACAAAAGUUAGAAAUUGUAAGCACGUUUUAAAUGCUGAUAUUUUCUUGAACUUUCCCUAAGAUGUGAAUUAACAGAAGGAUUUACAUUCUGUUCAGUCAAAAUGUUUCAUUCUUACUGGUAUUUGAGUGUCUUAUUCAACUCUUUCUUGUCUCCACACUACACUGCCUUGUUGCAAAAAUGAAUUGGAAGAAAAGCCUAUAUAUCAUGUACUACAGCAGAAUCUGUUGUUUCUCAAUAGUAGGGAAUUGAGGUCUCGUUCAAGCCCUGGGUAUGGAGUCGCUUUUGUUAGGGAGCGCUUUACCCCUCCGAUGUGGGACUUCUUCGCGCGAAUCUGGAUUUAGUUGGGCUCCAAUGCGGGUACCGAGCACCGGGUGGAAAACCAUAAAAAAGAGGUUAGUGAAAUGCUGAUAUAUUGGCUUAAACAAGUCUUGCAUUGUUAUACUGAAUUGGACAUAGAGUGACAAGAAAAUAUAUCCAAAAAAUCCGGGGAAGUUAGGAUUGCAGUAAUCUAUGAACUAGUAAACUUCUAACCUACAAAUAUACAUGAUGGUACAGAUUGAAGAACUAUACUUCUGCACUCCUUUAUUAAUUGGUGAUGACAUUUAAGUGAGAAGUGAUAUAGAGAAAUUCAGUCUCGCUACAUGGGAUAGUAAGGCCCCCCCUUGGAUAAUCAAAUAGGUAUUCCUCCUCUGCAUGCCUCAACAAGUCUUGAAACGAAGGAUGCUUCAAGCAAGAGACAGGAACCACAAAUCUAUGCUUAUUAUUAUGGUUUUCUCCAACAUAAACUGCCAUGUGACCCUUCGGAACAUCUGUUAACUU